rnacentral:lncRNA from 1 species
AUGGUCCAAGAUGGCGACCUGGAACGCUGAGCGAGAGAAUCAAGACGGGAAGAGACUCAUGAGAGCCUAUAGAAUGGGCGGGGGACCUAGGAGAGGGACGAUAAUUGCGAAGACCAGAGGGCCGGAAGAAGAAACAUUCUAAGCGCAUCAAGAAUUCUGGCCGACUCCCCACAGCCCCGGGUUCCCAUGGCAACCGCCUGGCGCUUGAUGGUUACAUCUUUCAGCACAAGCGUGGAAAGAUUUGUGUAUUCGGCUAUUUUGUCAUCCGCAUAUGAUAGCACAGGACAUGCUCUGCACUGUAAACUCUCAGACCUUCCCGAUAUUUGUAACUUUGGCUGCUGCCACUGGCCCCGGCUCCAAACCUUCAGUGUCCUGUAUUUUGACAUUUCUUUGUGUCCGUCUCUACCCACUUCAUUCUCCCACUCCUACCCCUUUACACACACCACAUCAGAGCUUUUUUGUGGGGACUGAGUAAAAGACCUUUAGGAAAUUUCAGGUAUCGAUUCCUUCUAUGCAUGCAGAGUAGAUAUGAACAGCAAAAAUAAAAAAUAAAAAAAUUGAAGCAGAAAUAGUCUGCCUGA